CCUUUGACGUUAGCGGCGGACGGGUGAGUAACACGUGGGUAACCUACCUAUAAGACUGGGACAACUUCGGGAAACCGGAGCUAAUACCAGAUAAUAUGUUGAACCGCAUGGUUCAAUAGUGAAAGAUGGUUUUGCUAUCACCUAUAGAUGGACCCGCGCCGUAUUAGCUAGUUGGUGAGGUAACGGCUCACCAAGGCAACGAUACGUAGCCGACCUGAGAGGGUGAUCGGCCACGCUGGAACUGAGACACGGUCCAGACUCCUACGGGAGGCAGCAGUAGGGAAUCUUCCGCAAUGGGCGAAAGCCUGACGGAGCAACGCCGCGUGAGUGAUGAAGGUCUUAGGAUCGUAAAACUCUGUUAUUAGGGAAGAACAAACGUGUAAGUAACUGUGCACGUCUUGACGGUACCUAAUCAGAAAGCCACGGCUAACUACGUGCCAGCAGCCGCGGUAAUACGUAGGUGGCAAGCGUUAUCCGGAAUUAUUGGGCGUAAAGCGCGCGUAGGCGGUUUUUUAAGUCUGAUGUGAAAGCCCACGGCUCAACCGUGGAGGGUCAUUGGAAACUGGAAAACUUGAGUGCAGAAGAGGAAAGUGGAAUUCCAUGUGUAGCGGUGAAAUACGCAGAGAUAUGGAGGAACACCAGUGGCGAAGGCGACUUUCUGGUCUGUAACUGACGCUGAUGUGCGAAAGCGUGGGGAUCAAACAGGAUUAGAUACCCUGGUAGUCCACGCCGUAAACGAUGAGUGCUAAGUGUUAGGGGGUUUCCGCCCCUUAGUGCUGCAGCUAACGCAUUAAGCACUCCGCCUGGGGAGUACGACCGCAA
rnacentral:rRNA from 1 species